AGAGAGGGCACGGAGCGGGCACAGAGCAGGCACGGAGCGGGCACUGGGAGGGCACGGAGCGGAGCACCGUGCCAGCCCCUGAGAAGAAAAUUAACUCUAUCCCAGAUGAAACUAGGACAAGGCCAUAUGACAAACCUUUGGUUCAUCUAGUGUAUCAGCGUUUCAAGACUGCUACAGGAUGGAAGUUGUCUCUACAGACUAGGAAAGUGUCCCUAAAGAAAAUAUCCCGUGGGUGGAAGUCUCAGAGGAGAUGGAGAUGUGCAGAACAAAGACAGCAAGGCAGUUCAGCCCCAGCUCUGUGGCCCAGCAGCUCCUCCCACCUCCUUUAUCAGCUGAAUUGUCAAAGAAGGCUUGGAAAGAAGCUCUCAAAGCCCAGGGUUUUGUCGAUCAUACUGCCAGUGAAAUGGUCAUGCAGUACAGGCAAAUUUCUGAUCAGCAUGUUGUCUUCUCUUUUAAGGCAAAAUUAAUUAAAUAUGGACCUUACCCAAUUUCCCUGGCAGCUGGCACAGGAGGUUUUCCACUGACUGCAGCAGAGCUGGUUAAAGACCUUUACUCCUAUAAUUGCUUCAUUUUAUGCACUGAGUGGUUUGACACUUUGCAUGGUUGAUAUGAUCUUGGAUGUGUAGAGACCAUGAAUUACCUAAGUGUCACAGAUAUUAAAUCAUGAAGUAGAUGACAGUGUCCUCUCUAUGUCAUAUGAUCUUAGCGCACUUUGUGGGAUAGUCUCUUUUAUUAUUGCCAGUAAUCAUAAGUGCUGAAAAAAUACCUUAAGUAAAAUAGCAUUUUAGAGUACAAUGCAUCCAAUGUUCUUAAUAUGUACAUACACAUCUGCAAUAUGUUAAACUCAGACUCAUGCCCAUUUAAUCUCAAGGAUUUCAAUGGGGUGUCUGUAUGGAAUGAAGGGAGAAGUUUGAUCCCAGAAUACUCAAUGGCCGCACCUUUUGGGAACACUUUAGGCCUUGGAUUUUCACCUAGAUUUGUGUUUAUAAUAAUAAACAUGUAAUUUAUUAAAUAUAUAUUUAUAAUAAAUUCCAUGCUAUCAAUGGUCUGUCUACUGUAUGAAUAAUUUCAUGUACUACUUGGUUUCUCUUUGAUGAUUUCAGAAAACUGUGCAUCCAAUUAAUCUGACAUGUGGUUUUGAGCCACAGUGAUAAAUGCCUGGUAAGGGUGCUCUCUGCCCAGAGAUGUGAUCAGGAUCUAUUCCAAUAAUCCAAAUAAAGCCUGUCAAUGAGCAGGUUCCCUUGUGAGAAGAAAUGGGCUUGAAGCAGUUACAGGUCCUGUAUUCCUCUUCAUGGAUUUAAGUCAGAACGGAUGGAUACUUUGGUUCAGCUCCCUUCUGCCGUGGACAAAUUCACAAAGUCAGGAAUAUGUACCUCUGCCAGUGUGUGCAAAACCACUUCUUAGCCACUGCAACCUAGAGUGCACCAAGAGCAGGGCAAGAGAAGCAGCAAAUGAGAUUGUCCUAAACGUCCCUUAGCAGUAGGUGCUGUGUCCAGCUAGUGCCAGCCUCUCCUCCUGUCACGGCAGUACUGCCCCUUCAGAAGCUGAUGUUGGCGUCAGGCCCCCAUUUGUAUUGACUCUGGGAAGAGCCUGAGUGUUGUGGAUAGGUAAAACUUUACAGAAGGAAGCCUUGUGAAAUCAUGCCUCACUCCUGUUACUUUGGCAAAGUAGAAAAGGCUGCUGGGAGUGACUCAGCUGAAUUAGAGAUAGAAAAACAAGUUUUAUAACCAUUGUGCGUUCACAUUGUUGUGUAUGGUGGUUGGUUGGAUGAUGUUUGUUGUAUUUUAGAAUUAUGUAACUGAUAAAAGGCUAACUGCUUAAAAAUACCAGGUUUUUGCAAUAAAGGAGUUCUCUUUUGCA